rnacentral:miRNA from 1 species
UUGGUCGGUGGGUGCGAAAUGGGU